rnacentral:rRNA from 1 species
AUUGAACGCUGGCGGCAUGCCUUACACAUGCAAGUCGAACGGCAGCACGGGUGCUUGCACCUGGUGGCGAGUGGCGAACGGGUGAGUAAUACAUCGGAACAUGUCCUGUAGUGGGGGAUAGCCCUGCGAAAGCCGGAUUAAUACCGCAUACGAUCUACGGAUGAAAGCGGGGGACCUUCGGGCCUCGCGCUGUAGGGUUGGCCGAUGGCGGAUUAGCUAGUUGGUGGGGUAAAGGCCUACCAAGGCGACGAUCAGUAGCUGGUCUGAGAGGAGGACCAGCCACACGGGGACUGAGACACGGCCCAGAGGCCUACGGGAGGCAGCAGUGGGGAAUUUGGGACAAUGGGCGAAAGCCUGAUCCAGCAAUGCCGCGUGUGUGAAGAAGGCCUUCGGGUUGUAAAGCACUUUUGUCCGGAAAGAAAUGCUUGGCCCUAAGACGGUCGGGGGAUGACGGUACCGGAAGAAUAGGCACCGGCUAACUACGUG